UACGUAGGGUGCAAGCGUUAAUCGGAAUUACUGGGCGUAAAGCGUUCGCAGUCGGUUAUUUAAGACAGGGGUGAAAUCCCCGGGCUUAACCUGGGAACUGCAUUUGUGACUGCAUAGCUAGAGUACGGUAGAGGGGGAUGGAAUUCCGCGUGUAGCAGUGAAAUGCGUAGAUAUGCGGAGGAACCCCGAUGGCGAAGGCAAUCCCCUGGACCUGUACUGACGCUCAUGCACGAAAGCGUGGGGAGCAAACAGG
rnacentral:rRNA from 1 species